AACGCGGAUGCCGAAAAGCGGAAAGAGAGUAGGUC
rfam:Bacteroidetes bacterium RIFOXYA12_FTLL_38_20 rifixya3_full_scaffold_110, whole genome shotgun sequence.